AUUUAAGUAGUUUAAUAUAAAACAUUGAUUUGUGGGAUCAAAAAUAUAAUUUUAAUUAUUUUAGAUA
rnacentral:tRNA from 1 species